UUCUGCCUCCAAUAUCCCAUUUGCUUGAGUGUUAGCUUUUGAAAAUAAAGCAUACAGAAGAUCCUCAUAAUAUGAGACUGUUGAUUAACAUUAGGGUCCUCUUCCUCUACACUUUGCAGGGGUUAUGGUUCUGGGAUGAUUUUGUUGUGGGAAGAAGCUGAGGGAAGGAUCAUUUGAAUUGGAUCAUGGAGUCACUGCCUCAGGGUCUUGUUUUUCCUGUUCUUCACUUGCAGGAUGUUUCUUCCAAGCCAAAUUGCUGAAAGGUACCAAGCUACUUCCAUUUUAAAUAUUGGAGAAAGGAGCAUAUGAAGUUUUUCCUAUACUAGAAUUUAGACAUUGCACAAGCUAAAAUUUUGAAUGAUAUAGAGAACUAUCACUAGUAUAGUUAAAUUUUCAGAUUUGGAGGUCCAUAUGAAGAGAACUAUCAGUAUGAGUUAUCUCAAUGUAGCCAAUUAUUGGAUCUGAAACUUUGAUUGAGGUAGAACCUUAGCCUUUGAAUUA